UCCGGUUUGUCACCGGCAGUCUCGCAUGAGUCCCCGGCCGAACCGCUGGCAACAUGCGACGAGGGUUGCGCUCGUUGCGGGACUUAACCCAACAUCUCACGACACGAGCUGACGACAGCCAUGCACCACCUGUACACCGGCCCCGAAGGGCUGCCGUAUUUCUACGGCAUUCCGGUGCAUGUCAAGCCUUGGUAAGGUUCUUCGCGUCGCGUCGAAUUAAACCACAUGCUCCGCUGCUUGUGCGGGCCCCCGCCAAUUCCUUUGAGUUUUAGCCUUGCGGCCGUACUCCCCAGGCGGGGCACUUAAUGCGUUAGCGUCGGCGCGGAAGGAGUCGACACCUCCCACACCUAGUUCCCAUCGUUUACGGCGUGGACUAC
rnacentral:misc_RNA from 1 species